rnacentral:rRNA from 1 species
GGCUGUGAACUCGAAGAGUAGGGCGGGACACGUGGUAUCCUGUCUGAAUAUGGGGGGACCAUCCUCCAAGGCUAAAUACUCCUGACUGACCGAUAGUGAACCAGUACCGUGAGGGAAAGGCGAAAAGAACCCCGGCGAGGGGAGUGAAAAAGAACCUGAAACCGUGUACGUACAAGCAGUGGGAGCACCUUCGGGUGUGACUGCGUACCUUUUGUAUAAUGGGUCAGCGACUUAUAUUCUGUAGCAAGGUUAACCGUAUAGGGGAGCCGCAGGGAAACCGAGUCUUAACUGGGCGUUAAGUUGCAGGGUAUAGACCCGAAACCCGGUGAUCUAGCCAUGGGCAGGUUGAAGGUUGGGUAACACUAACUGGAGGACCGAACCGACUAAUGUUGAAAAAUUAGCGGAUGACUUGUGGCUGGGGGUGAAAGGCCAAUCAAACCGGGAGAUAGCUGGUUCUCCC